rnacentral:lncRNA from 1 species
AUUUGGGAAACAUCGUUGAGAUGUGCCUUGGGAGGCCACUGAGGGAGCUAGGGCUGGAAAAAGGAAUGGCAGUCACCAGGCCCCACCCCAUCUCUGGAUUCAUAAGUAAGACCUUGAAACUACAAUCAGGGUUGCAGACCUGGUCCCCAGGUAGGAAGGAGAGACCAGGACUGCUUCCUGCUCCUGUGUACUGCUCUUUUGGUUCCUACUGACAAGCUCCUCCCCACACUCUCCAGUUCCCCUCGAAGCUGUUUGAAGUCAAGUUUUCCUCACUGGUGCCAAGGGCCUCACCAGCUCCAGCAGCUAGUUCCUUACAUCCUUAGACCUAGUGCUGGGAAAAGACUAGAAACCUCUGAGGAACGCUUUGCCUCUCUAGCCCGUCUCCACAGAAGGACCGCACGACGUCCUCACCAGCUGCUUCCAAGGUUAACAGUCAUCAGCGAUGCAUCCUCCCCAAAAUUGCCCGCACCUACACACAGUUAUGACAUCCUCCUCCAUGGCAGCCAGUAUCCAAUGAGAACACGAAGGACUGUCUUAGCACUGAGCUCCUCUGCGACCACAGCAGUUGGGACACACUAAGCCUAGGGCUUCCUGUCCAGUUGAAUUCCACCCUCCUCACAGGUAUUCACCCACUCAGACCUCCUGAGAAGCCCCCUGGAGACAGAAGCCAGAGACAAGCGGAAAUGGGCACCACCAUGGGGACCAAGUAUGUAACACACGGACUCAGGAAGACAAACAAGCCGCCAAACGCAGCUCCAGGCUCACUACCACAGCUCCAGGCUCACUCUCUUCUUCCUGCAGGCAGGAAGCAGGAAACAGGAAACAGGAAGCAGGAAGCAGGAAGCAGGGUCUGUGCUUCACAGGGGAGGAAUCAAACUACAGUAAAUCUCCCUCAGUGCAAGGCUGCCCCCAGGUUAUCCUACAUCAGAAUGGUUCCCUGCUCCUUAGCCUGUCAUUUCAGUCCCUUCAUGACAAUGCCCAAGCUCUAUAAAUCUAUUUCUCAAAAAACAAAACAAAACAAAAUAAAACAAAAAACCCUCUGUGCCCCACAAAUAUUACUCCUGAGAAGAGGCUCCAAGUCGAUCCUUUUCCAGCCCUGUGAUUGUUUUAUCUAGUGUCCUAAUUCAACAGGAAGUACUCAGGCCUUUCAAUGUUAAUUGAAACCGUUUCAAACAUCUGCUUGGGAUAGAGGCUGCCCAUUGCUACGUUCUCCCAAACCUGUACCUGCUACUUUCUUUUGUCCACCCCCACCCCCACCCGUGUGCUGUGAGAAGACAGCAGUGCCCAGGACAUCCUCCUGCUCCUUAUGGGGGUGACUAGAGGCAGGGCCGAACCUGGUCUGGAGAAGAGAACCAGGGAAGACGUCCAAGCCACUCCUAAGCACUCAACAAGCACAGCUGCAUGGACUGUCAGAAAGGGAGGGGCUUUAGUGAGUUUCUAGCAGGGCAUGGGGGCUCAUACCUGGAACCCCAGAACUGGGAGGCAGAGGGAGGAAGAAUGAGAGCUUGAGACCGCCUAGGCUACAGAAAAAGACCCAGUCCCAAACAUGAUAAAAAU